rnacentral:rRNA from 1 species
AAUGGGCGAAAGCCUGACGCAGCGACGCCGCGUGAGUGAUGAAGGCCUUCGGGUUGUAAAGCUCUGUGGAGGGGGACGAAUAAGUCGGAGCGAAUAGCUCCGAUGAUGACGGUACCCCUUUAGCAAGCACCGGCUAACUCUGUGCCAGCAGCCGCGGUAAGACAGAGGGUGCAAACGUUGUUCGGAAUUACUGGGCGUAAAGCGCGUGUAGGCUGCUCGACAAGUCGGAUGUGAAAGCCCUGGGCUCAACCUAGGAAGUGCAUUCGAUACUGUCGAGCUUGAGUCCUGGAGAGGAAGGCGGAAUUCUCGGUGUAGAGGUGAAAUUCGUAGAUAUCGAGAGGAACACCGGUGGCGAAGGCGGCCUUCUGGACAGUGACUGACGCUGAGACGCGAAAGCGUGGGGAGCAAA